GGAACAUGUUCCUUCUUCCCAAGCAGCCUGAAGCCACCUGCUUGUGUGCUCAGGGCCACAGGUGUGGCUUUCCUGGAGCCAAAAUAACGCUUCAAGCUUGCCUAGCCCAGGACUCUGUGUUCCCACUUGCUGCCCAGCUCCCCACCCCAGCAUGCCUGGCUGCUCCCCAGGAAACAGGGCAAACAAGCUUCUAUUGAUUGCCGUCAUGGCUGGGAGAAUGCGCCUUUGUUGCCUCCACGCCUCCUCCCCCAGGGUCCGUGCCCACAGGACAGGUGUUCAGGGCGUCAUCAAGGCAGACGUUCUGUCCUCUGUGUUCCUGCCCGUGAUGUGCCAGAGUAGAUGAGCACACCCACGGGAGCCCAUUCGGGACAAGGACGUGCAAGAGUGGACACUCCCUGCCAUGAGAAUCCAGAAGGACAUCGCUGUGACACUAACUUCAGUGAACUGGCAGUCAUCAAGAAGAACCAGAGCUCAUUCCAGGGCUGUGCACUGUACAUCUCAUUGUUUCCCUGGGCACAUGGUGUCAGAGAUUCAGAAAUAUUACAGAGGCCUUGGCUACUUGCAAAACUGUGACGCCUUGCUGGCACCAGCCAGUUUUAAACCUUUUCCUUUUGGGUUAGAUUUGGGAUGUCAGCAGUAAUAACAAUCAACAGUAGCUGCUUUACCAACUACAAAUAAAGUCUCUCGUCUUUCUACUGA